CCAACACCGAGAAUCGACUCCCGUCUCAUAAUGCUCGUCUCAUGACGCUCAUUUGGCGAACUGAAGCCACGCCACCUGCGCUCUUACAUUUCAAAAUAACAUCUCCUUUUCUCAAGACUGUAAAUGGUUUCUC